rnacentral:pre_miRNA from 1 species
ACAGCAAAGGGACCGUCGGUCUACCGAGCAACAUCACCCGCUCGGUGGAAGAUCUUUCCUCCGUCGU